rnacentral:lncRNA from 1 species
GUCUAGGGAAAAUCUUAUAAACCUAAAUAACAACUUUCUGGGGGUUUAAAAUAUAAAAUAUGGUAAUAAAGUAUAUUCUCCAUAGUUCUCUAAUGGAAGCUUGGUAAUGAGUGAAUCAAAAUUGACACUUGAAGCAAGUCAAUCAUGUACUGAAUGAUUUCUGAAGAUUGAUUCAAAAUAUUCGGUAAAUACAGCAUUUUUGCUAUGUUUCUACUAUUGGAAAAUUUGUAAGAGGAGAUGUUUGUAAAAAAAAAAAAAUUUUGGCAAAUACAAGGUUCAUUAUUUAUUUUUGAAGACGAUACUUAAGUUAUCUAACAAUUCUUUUUUAUUAUAAUUAUUCAUUGUAUUGGUUGAUUGCUAAAAGUUGAAGUAUGAGGCACAUUUUCUUUCAUUUAUUGUCAACCUUAAAACAAGAGGCAUGAAAUAAAAUUUGUAAAGACCAUGGAUUACUCAAAAAUGUAAUCUCAAACUACAGACAAGUAUACCUUGCAAUCAUUCCAUACACCAAUUGCAGUUGAAAUUUAGCUCAUAACACUGAGUUUUUUUAAAGAGGUCUUUCAAUUGCCAAAAAAAACUAAAAAAAAAACACAAGUAUAUGACAGAAGGACACUUAAAUCACAC